rnacentral:rRNA from 1 species
UGCCAGCCGCCGCGGUAAUACGGGGGGAGCAAGCGUUGUCCGGAAUCAUUGGGCGUAAAGGGUGCGUAGGCGGCGCACCAAGUGAGGCGUGAAAUCCCCGGGCUUAACCCGGGAACUGCGUUUCAUACUGGUGUGCUAGAAUCCGAGAGAGGGUAGUGGAAUUCCCAGUGUAGAGGUGAAAUUCGUAGAUAUUGGGAAGAACACCAGUGGCGAAGGCGGCUACCUGGCUCGGUAUUGACGCUGAGGUGCGAAAGCGUGGGGAGCGAACAGGAUUAGAUA